rnacentral:rRNA from 1 species
GAUGAACGCUGGCGGCGUGCCUAAUACAUGCAAGUCGAGCGAACAGACGAGGAGCUUGCUCCUCUGACGUUAGCGGCGGACGGGUGAGUAACACGUGGAUAACCUACCUAUAAGACUGGGAUAACUUCGGGAAACCGGAGCUAAUACCGGAUAAUAUAUUGAACCGCAUGGUUCAAUAGUGAAAGACGGUUUUGCUGUCACUUAUAGAUGGAUCCGCGCCGCAUUAGCUAGUUGGUAAGGUAACGGCUUACCAAGGCGACGAUGCGUAGCCGACCUGAGAGGGUGAUCGGCCAAACGGGAACUGAGACACGGUCCAGACCCCUAGGGGAGGCAGAAGGAGGGAAUUUUCCGCAAGGGGCGAAAGCUGGACGGAGCAACGCCGGGGGAGUGAUGAAGGUCUUCGGAUCGUAAAACUCUUUUAUUAGGGAAGAAAAAAUGGGUAAGUAACUAUGCACGUCUUGACGGUACCAAAACAGAAAGCCACGGCUAACUACGU